AAUGAUGUUAGAAAGGUGGGAGGCUGAAGAUAUGAAGAAAGUUGAUAUGUUGGGGCUAACAUGAUAUAUCAUUCUUUUAGGAGGGCCUUUUGGAGAAAUUUAUAAACAAAUCGGGGGGAGAUCGAAUUAUUUUGAAAUUAUAAUCCCAAAUGCAAAACAAAAGCAUAAAAAUUACACGCCGAAACGGUGAGUCGGCCAGCGAUCGACGAUUAGGGACGGAAAACCCGACGCCGGUCGUCCGAGGGAGGUUCAUCGAUUUGUGCCGCCUCUAAUGGCUGUCCGGAGAAUACAGCAGCCGCGGAACUCGGCGGCGUGAAGAUGAGAUCAUUCUCUUCGGGCGAGUUCAGACGGUCGGGAUUGUUCGGCCGGAGAAAACUUGGUGAUGAUAGUUGGGACAAGGAGGAGCACGGACGCGCUAUGAUUACAAUCUCCGGAGAAGCCAUUGAAGAGUGAUUACUGUGAGUCGUGUCGAUUCAUGUGUUUUCUAUUAUUGUUUGCCUUUUCUUUUUCGUCCGGAAUCUGUGAUACUCAUGUUUUAUUGCGCCUAAAUUUGAGAUUGCGGCCGAAAAUUUCGACCUAAAGUGAUAUGAAAUGUGGCCUUGAAUUGAUGCUAUUAUAAAAAAGUUCACAUAAUGAUAACAAUUGAUGCAAGUUUUGGAUCAAUCCAUUAUAAGUCUGGAGUAAAGAAAGUUUCACAGUAAGCAUAAGAAAAAUCGGGUCUCAUUGGUGUCCAAGGUGUUGAUUAAAUGGUUGAAUUGCUGCUUCACGUAAAUUGAAUGAUGUAAAUUCCACGAUCUACAAAACUAAUGAAGAAAUGAUACCAUUAAAGCUGUUGCAAUACCGCAUAAGCCAUGUGACCUUAGCAGUGGUAAAGACAAGAGAGCGAUACUUAGCCAGUUAGCCCCUGCACUAGACCAUGCUACUGUAGGUUGCUUCUUAGAUGACCAUGACAUACUCAAGAAAAAUACAAUAAUGCAGUAGUAUUAUGUCAGUAUUAUGUCUUGUAUGAGUGCGUUCCUAUCCGAUCAACAUCGUAAAACCCUGUCAAAUUAAAUGAAUUUUGUGCAAGGAAUCUUAUACUUUGAUCCAUUGUCCCCUUGAGAUAUCAAAUGAUCCUCUUGAGUGCAUGAAAAUCGGCUUCUAUAGGUGCCUGAAAAUACUAACACACUCUGUUUUCCUCAUGGAGAAUAUCUGAUCUUGUAAAAGUUAAAUACUGAAGUGCACCACUUAAAUUCUGAAGUGCAAAAACUAAUUUUUGGUACUGAGUAGGAUCAACAAGCUUGCUGUUAUUUUGAAAUGUUUUGAGGUUUAAUAGCCAUGGGUGUGGCGAGAUGCAAACAUCUAGGAUUUGAGCAUGACAAAGUAAAUCUUUUCAAUAUUUUGUUUGGAACAAAAAAAUACCAUCAGAAGAAUUCUAAGUUUCAAACGAAGGAAGUAAUGAACUUUCCCCAAAUCCUUUAUUGUACAUUCAUUGUUUAAUAAGUCAAUAAGACUUUUUGGAUGACUUGAGUGUAGUUGUAUGUAACUAUCACAUCAUCCACAUAAACAAGCAUUUGCAGAAUUCCACCAUUUUUAUGAAGCACAAAUAAUGAGGAAUCAACCUUGCUACACACAAACCCAACAUGUAAUAAGAAUUGGGAUAAUCUAUCAAACCAACUCCAGAUGCUUGCUUCAAGCCAUAGAGAAAUCAAUUUAAGAGAUAAACAUGAUCAAGGACCUUUUGAUUUGAGAAGUCCGAUGGUUGCUACAUAUAUACAUUUUCCCCAGGAUGAAAAUAUCAGUUUUGUGGAAUAUAUCGAUAACUUGAUUUUACAGAUAUAUCAGAAAAUAUCGUUGGAUAUUUGGACACAAAAUAUUGGUAGAACAAAAAUUAAUAAAAAAACUUAUAGUAGUAUUUGAAAAAACUCAAAAAAUGAUAGAAAAAUAAUAAUUCAUAUAUUGAAUUGUUUUAACAAGAAAAUUGAUAUAUAUAUUGAAGGAUAUAAAAGAAACGAUGAUAUAUAAGUAUUUUUUAUUUAAAAAUAUUGGCAAUUUAAUUUAUAAAUUUGCAUCUAUUCUGUAUUAAAUUAUUAUAUAAAAUACAUAAUAGAAUAAUUAAAAUUAUUCUGAUCAAAAAAAUAAUUAAAAUUAGUUUAUUUGUAAUAAUUUUAUUUUAAUUAAUUUAUAAUCUAUAAUACAUAAAAGAUUAGUAUAUGCAUAGAUUUUUCUUUUCUCUGAAUUCGUAUCAACAAAGCACAAUUGGUCUAGUGGUAGAGAUGGUUCCUUUCAAUCUCAAGGUUAUUGGUUCAAACCCUAUACUUCAAUAUUUAUGUGGUUUUCUAUUUAGCCUUUAAAAAGUAAUCUCACAUCGGAAUUGGGAGAAAAGAUAAUGUUGUAUUUAAUAGCCUUCACAGUUGAUACUAAGUAUAGGUAUGGUGGAGAGAAAUUAGGCCCAUGGAUGGUGGUUUCAUGGGUUGAUUUUGAGCUCCGGCCUAGUACCCAAACAAGAAUUUUGUGUUAAAGAAAAUCGGUGUUGACUUGUUGUUUGUGGUUGAAAUAAUUGCCGAUAUAUCUGGUAUAUCGGUGUAAUAUUGGAAUUUCAUUGAUAAAUCGGUUAUAACUUAUAAAAGAAGAAAAAUAACAAAAAAUCUCUCAACUGAGAUUUCCAUGGUCGAUAUCAUGUUGAAGGGUGAUAUUUCAAUGAUUUUUCCGUGAUAUUUUUUGACAUUUUAAACCAUGAUUUUCCCUAAGCAAAACAUGAGGAAAGGUCUUUUUACAUCUAGUUGUCUCAUGGUCUAGUGAGAUGCCACUACAAUUGUCAAGAUCAAUCUUAUUGUUGUGGGUUUUUACAUUUUGUCAUGUAAAAAUUUUAAGGACUUGUCGAGUGAGGAUGUCUCAUGCAUUAGUGUUAAAUGUUGAGUGGUGCUUUGCUAGUUUGUACGCCUACCAAAGUUUGGUGCGCCCCCUCCUCAAGACAUUAAGGCCUUCUCUUUUAUGCUCUCUUGCUAGAAUUUGUUGGCACUAAUCCUUGACAAUAAUGUUAUGUGAUUUGGUGAGAAUUCAAUCAAACAUGAGUUAUCUGAGUUAAGUUGCUCGACUAAUAAUAAGUUUUUCUUUAUGUUAGGAACAACUAAAACAUUCUUCAGUUCUAAAUUGCCAUAAUCACUUUUUAGUUUUGUUUCUCCAACACAUGAAAUCUUUAAGCAUUCUCCAUUCCUAAUAUAAAUAGCAUCAUUACCUUUAUAUGGCAUUACUUUGGACAUCUUACUUGGAUCAUUGGUCAUGUGCAUAGUGGCUCCUAAAUUGGAAUAGAAAGUGGUAUCAUUCUCUCCUCCAUUUAGAUUCUUUGUGGCCAAUGCUUGAAGAACAUCUUCGAAUUGAUAUAAGUAUUCAAACCUAUUCCAAGAAUCCUUACUAGAAUGAUUAGCUUUAUUGCAAAUUUGACAAAUAAUAGUACCUCCUAAUUUUGAACAUCGUAAUUUUUGCUGCUGCCAUUACUAUCCACUUUGAUAAUAUUUCCAUUUUUCAUUUCCUCUACUAUUAUUUGGUUUUGGGUUCUAACCAACAUUAUGAUUUGUGCUAAAUCUUCUAGUAGGAGCAAACCAACCACCUUUGAAAUUAAAACAACCUCCAUGAUGCCUUCCCUCACCUUGUUGACUUAUGAAGGCUUGUUCAUGGUUCAUGUGGUUCUUUUUCUCUUCAAUUUCAUUCAAGGGCAUUUAUUCAUGCCCUUCUUGAAUUUAUUCAUGCCCUUGAUAUGCUAGGACAAGCUAGUAGUAAGAUGGACAUGGUGGUUUUGAAAGCAUGGCAACCUAAAAACAUCUAUAUUUCAGUCCAAGCCUUCAAGCAAGUUGGAACAUUUUGCCCACAUCCUCCACUGGCUUCUUGAUUGCUGCCAAAUUGUCGCAUAUAUAUGCCUUUGAACUUUUUGAGAUACUCAUCUAUGGACAUAGAGCCCUUUAUUAGUGUUAGAAGGCUAUCAGUCAAAUGCACUUUCUUAUCUUUUGUCAUAGGAAGUAAUUUUUCUUCUAGAGAACUCCAAAUUUGAUAUGAUGUCUCCACUCUGGUGAUCAUUCCCAAAACCUCUUUUGCCAUAAGGCCAAGCAUCCAAGAGGUUAGGAGCUCAUUGUUAAUCUGCAUACGAUGUUAGGGAUUUGUGCUUAUCCUCCUAUUUGCACUUCCAAUUUCUUCUAAUGGAUUAUUACCUUCAAUAAGAUGAUGUAAUAUUCGAGGCUAUGAAUGAAAGGGGAGACUUAGGCUCUAUUUGGUAACUAUUUUUUGGACCAAUUUUCUAUUUUCUAGAACAAAAGAACAGGAAAACACAUUUGACAACAAAAAAACAAAAAAGUAUUAUUCACUAUUCUUAAAAACAGGAAACAGGUUAUCUUCAAAGAACCUCUUUUAAUUAUUUUCAAUUGUUUUCACUUGUUUUCCAAGGGUUGCUUUAAAAAAUAAUUAUACAAAUAUGAAAAAUGAUUAAAAAUAAAGCACUAUAUAUAAAAGUUAUUUUUAAAACAUAUUUAAAACUAUGGAAAACAAGUUAAGAACAUUUUAGGUUUUCUAAUAGACUUUUGUUCCACAAAACAUCAAACAAUAGUUUUUAAAAACUAUUUUUCAGAAUUGUUUUAUAAAACACUUCUCAAAUAGAACCUUAGGAUCUCCAUAAAAGAAAAUUUAAGGUGUUGAGCUUGAUUGAAACAAGACUUGCACAUUAGUGAAAGGAUCAUAUGCUAAGGAUUGAUUCUUAAGUGGCCUUGAAAAUUAGUUGCACAUAGAGGUAUGGAAAAAAAGGGAGAAAUAAGUCACUAAUCCAUUGUUUUAGGUAAUCACCGCAUGAAUCAAUGCAUGUAAGAGCUUUAUUUUGAGUUAUUUAUGGAGCUAUUCUUAUGCGAGAAAAUUCCUUAGAUAGCACUCUACAUUUUUUUAUUAUUAUUAUUAUUAUUAUUAUUUUAUAUAGGUUCCUUAGAUAACACUCUAGAUUGUAUCAAAUUUUGUUGCAAGGACUUGGUAGUUGACCUUUUUAUUAUUAUUAUUAGAAGUAAACCGAGACACAACAAUUUCAUUGCAUUGAAAGAUUAAGUGCAAAGAAGGAUGAAAAAUUCUUUCAAGAAGUACACAAUCCUCUGUAUGGGUGUGUAUACUAGUUCAAAAGUUCAAAUCUAACUAUAAUUCACAAAGUAUAAAAUAUCCUAGAAGAGAAAUCAUAUGUUUAAGCGAGGUGCCUAAGAGAAGGAACAUCCUAAGUCUAAGAAAAUGUCAAUAAUUGAUGCAACCACCCAUCAAACUUCCAUGGUCCUCUUCUUUCUUAGUUGAUUAUAAUAUAACAAUAGAAGAAUCAUGUUCUACUAGAAAAUUGGAGAAACCUAAAGCUUUGGCCUAUACCAACCAUCCAAAAGGGCUAGAAUUUCUACCUUAAUGGCCAAAUCCCAACCUACAAGUUUAGAGAAUGCUCUUAACACUAUCACAAUGAUCUUUAAUCAACCUUACAAUCCAUAAUGGUCCUAGGUUGCCUAAAGCACAUCCAUCAAACUUUGUCACAAAACCCUCUAGAAGUGAUUUCUAUUCACUAGGUAUCUCUUUAGUAAUUUUUGUGGUUCUCCAAACUAGAUUCUAAUCUAGUAGAGUGAGGCUCAAAGGAAUACCUGCAAAAGCUUCAUUGGUUGAAGCUCAUGGUGAAGAAGAGAGAUAAAAAAAUUUCUGAACUGCUUUUAGAGUCCUCCCCUUAUUCUAAAAAAUCUUUAUGUUCCUUUACGACUAAAUUGUCCAUAUGAAAGUGAGGUUGACUAUGCGCAAAAGGGUCCUACCUUGAGGAAGUCCCCCAAAACCUCUAAAUGACAUAAUCAAUAUCUUCUCCACAUUUCUGGUCGGAACCUAGUAAGUUGAACAAUUUACACCAUAAUGUUAUCUCUGCAAGGUAAUUUUAAAAGAUGUGGUCUAUAGAUUCCUCACUUCCCCUAUGCAUAACACAAUAUUUUGAGGUAAGCGCAUUGUAUGGUCAUCUCCUUUAAAGCAAGUCACUAGUAUUGACCUUCUUAUACGCCAUAAGUGAUGCAAAGGCCUUCACUUUUGGUGAAGUUUUUGGAUUUCCAAAUGAAAUUUGUAGGACAAAAAGGAACGGAAUUGGUUGAAGUACUAACUAAGAACAAUCUUGAUGAUAUCAAGGACCAAACUCUGAUGUAGGGAAAAGUGGAAGACAAAGAGACAUGAGCUAAAGCAAGCAUUAGAUGAGCUAGAAAAGUUGCCAUCUAACUUUUGUGUAACCCUCUCCACAACUGGGUCCCAAAAAGAUAUUGCUCUAGGAUUCCCUCUUGAAGGAAAACCUAAGAGAGGGGCCAAUCUGACAUCUCGUAGUUUAAAAAAGUAGUCAAAUUAAAGACUUGAGGCUAACUAAUAUUGAUACCCGAUAAAGUACUCUUAUCCAAAUUUACCUUGAGCUCAUAAAUGUUUCCAAAAACCAACAAGAUUAAUUAAUUGUCACUAGAUUAUAAAUGUGUCAUCCUUGUCCUAUUUCUACCUACCAAAAAGCCCUAUAAGAUUCCCCUAUUGUUUGCUUUCAACAUGAAUCUACUUGACACAUUUGCAACAAUGGUAAACAGAAGCCCUAAAAGUUGAUAAGGUUUUAAUAGACAAUUUCGAUCAUUACUUAGCAUCAUUUAACCCUUUUUGAAAAAAAAAAAAUCAAAAUCAAAAUCAAAAUUUCUUCCUUUGCUUUAUGGUCCCCAUAUUAAAGCUUGGCUUUGGGAUGUGGUGCACCUCCACAUGAAAUUAGUCCGAGAUCCUGGUCUCUCUUUUUGUUCUUUAGAUUUAUUUGCAGUUUUACUUGUUUAAAUAUUUUUAAGACCUGUAGGAUGUAAGAUGUCUAUUGUUUCUCAUUUUCAUUUGCUCUACCUAGUGUUAUUAAUGCUGAUACUUUCUACAAUACAGUUCUAGGGACUCCAAGGUGAAGUAGGCAGGAUUACUCAUCAAUAGUUGUGCAUAUGUUGUACAUACAGGGAAUAAGGGUUUGGGUAUUGGUCCUUUCUUGGAUUAUCUAUCUGAGCUAUUCAGUACCUCUCACAAUCUAUAGAAGUUUUCUAGAAAAGACAAAAAAGAAAAAAAAUUCACAAAUCAGGAGAAUUCUUCAGUUUUAAGUCUGAUUUAAAAACACAAUGAAAGGGAAAGACAAUGAAAAUCACGCAAAACUUUUAUGCCUUUUCAGAUGCUACAUUGUGUGCAAAAGGGAAAUAAAGUUGAAGAAAACUUAUAUUAUGGCCAAACUUAUUUUUUAUUUUUUUUACCUUUUUUAUUCCCUUUUUCCCUUCAUCGUUUUCUGCAUACUUUCCCGCAGGUUUUAACGUAUCAUAGGGUUGACCUUAAUUCUGCAACACAUGGUAGUAUAUCCUUUGUAGAGCAUGCUUUUUCUUAACACCACUGUCCAGUAACAGUCUAAAUAAUUAAAAAAUUUAUAGUGC
rnacentral:lncRNA from 1 species